rnacentral:misc_RNA from 1 species
AAGUCGUAACAAGGUUUCCGUAGGUGAACCUGCGGAAGGAUCAUUAACACGUGAAAACGUAUUAACCAAUCUACCUUAUACAACCUGAGAAUUUCACCCCUCCCUAUUCAACGAAUGCUGCUCCAUAUGAUAUGUAAUAGGAUAUGAUUUCGGUCAUAUGCAAUUGUAUGGAUGCUAAGGUUUCGAACCUGAGGUAUUUUUUGUUAGGCUUUUAACUUUUUUCCCCUAUUACUAAAAAAACUAAAAAAACCAAUUUCACCUUUUAAACAAUCUGACUGAUGUACGUUGAUAGUAAGAAAUUACUGGAUCAACACCAUUUAUUCAACUAAGCACAACUCUUAGCAAUGGAUAUCUUGGUUCUC